rnacentral:rRNA from 1 species
CUUUCCUCCCUACUGAAAGUGCUUUACAACCCUAGGGCCGUCUUCACGCACGCGGCAUGGCUGGAUCAGGCUUGCGCCCAUUGUCCAAUAUUCCCCA